rnacentral:rRNA from 1 species
CCUACGGGGGGCAGCAGUGGGGAAUAUUGGACAAUGGGGGGAACCCUGAUCCAGCCAUGCCGCGUAUGUGAAGAAGGCCCUCGGGUUGUAAAGCACUUUCAGUGAGGAAGAACGCCUGGUGGUUAAUACCCAUCAGGAAAGACAUCACUCACAGAAGAAGCACCGGCUAACUCCGUGCCAGCAGCCGCGGUAAUACGGAGGGUGCGAGCGUUAAUCGGAAUUACUGGGCGUAAAGCGCGCGUAGGUGGCUUGAUAAGCCGGUUGUGAAAGCCCCGGGCUCAACCUGGGAACGGCAUCCGGAACUGUCAAGCUAGAGUGCAGGAGAGGAAGGUAGAAUUCCCGGUGUAGCGGUGAAAUGCGUAGAGAUCGGGAGGAAUACCAGUGGCGAAGGCGGCCUUCUGGACUGACACUGACACUGAGGUGCGAAAGCGUGGGUAGCAAACAGGAUUAGAUACCCCUGUAGUC